GGAUCCAGACUUUGAUUCUGGCUCAGGAUGAACGCUAGCUACAGGCUUAACACAUGCAAGUCGAGGGGCAGCAUGUCGGUUGCUUGCAACCGAUGAUGGCGACCGGCGCACGGGUGAGUAACGCGUAUCCAACCUACCCCUGUCCAUCGGAUAACCCGUCGAAAGGCGGACUAACACGAUAUGCGGUUCUCAGCAGGCAUCUAACGAGAACGAAAUGUGAAGGAGAAGGAUGGGGAUGCGUCUGAUUAGCUUGUUGGCGGGGUAACGGCCCACCAAGGCUACGAUCAGUAGGGGUUCUGAGAGGAAGGUCCCCCACAUUGGAACUGAGACACGGUCCAAACUCCUACGGGAGGCAGCAGUGAGGAAUAUUGGUCAAUGGACGAGAGUCUGAACCAGCCAAGUAGCGUGCAGGAUGACGGCCCUAUGGGUUGUAAACUGCUUUUAUAGGGGGAUAAAGUGUGUCACGUGUGGCAUAUUGCAGGUACCCUAUGAAUAAGGACCGGCUAAUUCCGUGCCAGCAGCCGCGGUAAUACGGAAGGUCCAGGCGUUAUCCGGAUUUAUUGGGUUUAAAGGGAGCGUAGGCCGUUUGGUAAGCGUGUUGUGAAAUGUCGGGGCUCAACCUGGGCAUUGCAGCGCGAACUGCCAGACUUGAGUGCGCAGGAAGUAGGCGGAAUUCGUCGUGUAGCGGUGAAAUGCUUAGAUAUGACGAAGAACUCCGAUUGCGAAGGCAGCCUGCUGUAGCGCAACUGACGCUGAAGCUCGAAAGCGUGGGUAUCGAACAGGAUUAGAUACCCUGGUAGUCCACGCGGUAAACGAUGGAUGCUCGCUGUUUGCGUCUGACGUAAGCGGCCAAGCGAAAGCGUUAAGCAUCCCACCUGGGGAGUACGCCGGCAACGGUGCAACUCAAAUGAAUUGACGG
rnacentral:rRNA from 1 species